AGUCGAGUGCGCGCCUGUAGCAAUACAGGUGGCGCACGGCGCACGGGUGCGUAACACGUGGGUAAUCUGCCCUCUGAUGGGGAAUAACUCGCCGAAAGGCGAGCUAAUUCCGCAUAAUAUUCCGGGAACUUCGGUUUCUGGACUGAAAGGCGUAAGUCGUCGGAGGAGGAGCCCGCGCACGAUUAGCUAGUUGGUAGGGUAAUGGCCUACCAAGGCUUUGAUCGUUAGCUGGUCUGAGAGGAUGGCCAGCCACACUGGAACUGAGACACGGUCCAGACUCCUACGGGAGGCAGCAGUGGGGAAUCUUGCACAAUGGGCGAAAGCCUGAUGCAGCGACGCCGCGUGGGGGAUGAAGCUUUUCGGAGUGUAAACCCCUUUCGAUCCGGACGAAUGCCCGCAAGGGAUUGACGGUACGGAUAUAAGAAGCCCCGGCUAACUACGUGCCAGCAGCCGCGGUAAUACGUAGGGGGCCAGCGUUGUUCGGAAUUACUGGGUGUAAAGGGUUCGUAGGCGGUGCGGCAAGUUGGGAGUGAAAUCUCUGGGCUCAACCCAGAGACGGCUUCCAAAACUGCCGUGCUUGAGUGUGAGAGAGGCUCGUGGAAUUGCAGGUGUAGCGGUGAAAUGCGUAGAUAUCUGCA
rnacentral:rRNA from 1 species